AGCGAACGCUGGCGGCAGGCUUAACACAUGCAAGUCGAACGCCCCGCAAGGGGAGUGGCAGACGGGUGAGUAACACGUGGGAACGUACCCUUUGGUUCGGAAUAACUUGGGGAAACUCAAGCUAAUACCGGAUAAGCCCUUAUGGGGAAAGGUUUACUGCCGAAGGAUCGGCCCGCGUCUGAUUAGCUAGUUGGUGAGGUAAUGGCUCACCAAGGCGACGAGCAGUAGCUGGUCUGAGAGGAUGAUCAGCCACACUGGGACUGAGACACGGCCCAGACGCCUACGGGAGGCAGAAGUGGGGAAUAUUGGACAAUGGGGGCAACCCUGAUCCAGCCAUGCCGAGUGAGUGAGGAAGGCCUUAGGGUUGUAAGGCUCUUUUACCCGGGACGAUAAUGACUGUACCGGGAGAAUAAGCCCCGGCUAACUUCGUGCCAGCCGCCGCCGCGG
rnacentral:rRNA from 1 species